ensembl:lncRNA
AGUUGAUGAAGAAGCAGGAGAAUCUGGAGGCCAUGAUUCAAGCUCAGAGUGAGAGAUUUAAUACCCUUCAUGCCAGACGAAUACAGCGAAAGCCAUCUGAGUGACCAGCUUUACCUCCACGUCCCUCGCUGACCAGUCCUGUCCUAAGGAAAAAUGACGACAAGAGUGAUAAUUCAUCCACACCCUCCCGAGUCUCUACAGCCACGUCUGCCAUCCUGCAGAGAAGCAGCAGUGGUAAAAAUGAUUCCUCUGUGGUGUCAAGAGUGGCAUCAGGCCUCAGGACAAACAGCAGCAGUGACAGCGAUAUUGUAACUGCUCCCAACAAACCGUCCACCUCUGUUCUGGACAGCCCCGACUCCUCCUCAGAAAUUUCCAGUGCUGUUUAAAAACCCCAUCGCCCCCAAGAUUGACUAUAGAACAUCAGAAGAUGUUGAUACUCAGAGACAGAUCAAACCCUCCCUCAAUGUCAGUGCUAAACCAAGGAUCACUCCUAGACGUCUGAAACCAUCUACACCUGAUAAAGACAUGCUGGGUCCUCCUACGUCAAAGCCACAUGAGUCACCCUCCAAAGACGAAGAAAUGGUCAACAAGCAACCCUCAGAGGACAAAAACCUUCCCCCCUCCACCCCACCAGAAAAACCUCAGUCAUCUCCUCCAGCUUCCCUUUCAGCCCCAAAAGAAGUACAAGCAUCCCCCUCUAUUGACUCUCCAACAAGGAUGACUGUUGACACUAAGAUCAGAGCAGGACGGGCCAUAACGGAGAUUAAACUGAAGCAAGGAGGAAAUAAAGUAAACUUUCCAACCAACACCAAUGGUGGUAUUGAUUAA